GACGAACGCUGGCGGUGUGCCUAACACAUGCAAGUCGAGCGAAGUGAGCACUACGGUACGAGCUUAGCGGCGGACGGGUGUGUAACGCGUGGACAAUCUACCCUGUAGACUGGGAUAACACCUCGAAAGGGGUGCUAAUACCGGAUAAUGUCGAGAAGCGGCAUCGCUUUUCGAAGAAAGGAGAGAAUCCGCUAUAGGAGGAGUCCGCGUCCCAUUAGCUAGUUGGUGAGGGUAACGGCCCACCAAGGCGACGAUGGGUAGCCGGCCUGAGAGGGUGAACGGCCACACUGGAACUGAGACACGGUCCAGACUCCUACGGGAGGCAGCAGUGGGGAAUAUUGUGCAAUGGGGGAAACCCUGACACAGCAACGCCGCGUGAGCGAAGAAGGCCUUCGGGUUGUAAAGCUCAAUAGUAUGGGAAGAUAAUGACGGUACCAUACGAAAGCCCCGGCUAACUACGUGCCAGCCGCCGCGGUAAGAC
rnacentral:rRNA from 1 species